UCGCAGUACUCUGACUGUGCAAAGGUAGCAUAAUCAUUUGGCUUUUAAUUGGAGUCUGGAAUGAAAGGAAAAACGUAUAAAAACUGUCUCCGCAUCAAUUUUAUUUAAAUUACUCAAUAAGGUGAAAAUUCCUUAAGUAUAAUAAAAGACGAGAAGACCCUUAGAAUUUUAAGAAAACCCAAUAUCAUAUAUGAAGUGAUUUUUGUUGGGGCAACAUUUUUUCAUAAAAUAAAAAAUAAUUUAUAUUUACAAAACGAAUACAUAUAAUAAAGUUUAAAUUACCUAAGGGAUAACAGCAUAAUUUUAAAAAAAAGAUUGUGACCUCGAUGUUGGACUAGGAACUAUUAAGGCUAGUCGUUUUAAUAUAAUAGGUUCUGUUCGAACUUUAUUUCCUACAUGAUCUGAGUUCAGACCGCGA
rnacentral:rRNA from 1 species